UUACUAAGGGCGCACGGUGGAUGCCUUGGCAUCAGGAGCCGAUGAAGGACGUGGCAAUCUGCGAUAUGCCUCGGGGAGCCGAUAAGCGGGCUGUGAUCCGAGGAUUUCCGAAUGGGGAAACCCCGUCGUCUGUGAGGGCGAUGACCUGUAUCUGAAUACAUAGGGUGCAGGGGGGAACGCGGGGAAGUGAAACAUCUCAGUACCCGCAGGAAGAGAAAACAACAG
rnacentral:rRNA from 1 species